AGAGUUUGAUCAUGGCUCAGGACAAACGCUGGCGGCGUGCAUAAAACAUGCAAGUCGGACGAGCCAAUCCCCGCAAGGGGAAAGGCUAGUGGCGAACGGCUGAGUAACACGUAGGUGACCUGCCCUGAAGUGGGGGAUAACGACUCGAAAGAGUCGCUAAUACCGCAUGUGACCACCGAUCCGUUUUCGGUGCUCAAAGUCGUAAGACGCUUUAGGAGGGGCCUGCGGCGGAUUAGCUAGUUGGUGAGGUAAUGGCCCACCAAGGCUUCGAUCCGUAGCUGGUCUGAGAGGAUGGCCAGCCAGACUGGGACUGAGACACGGCCCAGACUCCUACGGGAGGCAGCAGUUAGGAAUUUUGCGCAAUGGGGGAAACCCUGACGCAGCCACGCCGCGUGCGGGAUGAAGGCCUUCGGGUCGUAAACCGCCUUUCUCGAGGAAGACACCCGACGGUACUCGAGGCAUAAGCAACGGCUAACUACGUGCCAGCAGCCGCGGUAAUACGUAGGUUGCGAGCGUUGUCCGGAUUUACUGGGCGUAAAGCGCGCGCAGGCGGUUCCGAAAGUCGAAUGUGAAAGCUCCCGGCCCAACUGGGAGAGGCCGUUUGAAACUUCGGGACUUGAAGGCGGGAGAGGCAGAUGGAAUUUCCGGUGUAGCGGUAAAAUGCGUAGAUACCGGAAGGAACACCAGUGGCGAAAGCGAUCUGCUGGCCCGCCCUUGACGCUCAGGCGCGAAAGCUAGGGGAGCGACCGGGAUUAGAUACCCUAGUAGUCC
rnacentral:rRNA from 1 species